GGUGUUAUUCUGCCCUAAGACAAAAAAUAUCUCACAAGCACUCAUUUUAAUCUCUAUAAUAUAUUCUUCUAAUUGUUUUGUACUGAUUCGCUGGAGUGUUUUAAUGUAAAAGGCUGUAGUUUCAGUAUGUAGACCUUUUUCCCCAUGCCAGUGUUGAAGUCUCGAGCCGUCAGAGAGUCUGCUGCAAAUCAUUCAAUUUCACAAUUUACCAGCUCACAAAAAUCUGAAUUUAGCCGAUGGUGUGUUCUAAUGGGUGGAUUGUGUGCAAUCGCUGUAAUAUUUUAUUUUUAAAAGGUCUUAAACAGGAAUAAAAGUCGUUUUGUUCACUCAUUUUAAUUUCUAUAAUAUAUUCUUCUAAUUGUUUUGUACUGAUUCGCUGGAGUGUUUUAAUGUAAAAGGCUGUAGUUUCAGUAUGUAGACCUUUUUCCCCAUGCCAGUGUUGAAGUCUCGAGCCGUCAGAGAGUCUGCUGCAAAUCAUUCAAUUUCACCAUUUACCAGCUCACAAAAAUCUGAAUUUAGCCGAUGGUGUGUUCUAAUGGGUGGAUUGUGUGCAAUCGCUGUAAUAUUUUAUUUUUAAAAGGUCUUAAACAGGAAUAAAGUCGUUUGUUGUGAGGUCGUUGUGAAGCCCCGCGGUCUCGCGUUGUCAAAAUAGAUGACGCAAAUCCUUCAUUUUCCACACUUCAAGAGCUGAAAAACACCCACUUUUAGCUCUUGGUUUGUUCUAAUGGGUGGAUUGUGUGCAAUCGCUGUAAUAUUUUAUUUUUAUAAGGUCUUAAACAAGAAUAAAUUCGUUUCUUGCGAGCUCGUUGUGUCAUUGCACGAGAAGCCGCGCCGUCUCGCGCUGUCAAAAGAGCUGACGCAAAUCGUUCAUUUUCAAACUUCAACAGCUGAAAAACACCCACUUUUAGCUCUUGGUUUGUUCUAAUGGGUGGAUUGUGUGCAAUCGCUGUAAUAUUUUAUUUUUAUAAGGUCUUAAACAAGAAUAAAUUCGUUUCUUGUGAGCUCGUAGUGCGAGUGCAGGAGAAGCCGCGCCGUCUCGCGCUGUCAAAAGAGCUGACGCAAAUCGUUCAUUUUCAAACUUCAACAGCUGAAAAACACCCACUUUUAGCUCUUGGUUUGUUCUAAUGGGUGGAUUGUGUGCAAUCGCUGUAAUAUUUUAUUUUUAUAAGGUCUUAAACAAGAAUAAAUUCGUUUCUUGCGAGCUCGUUGUGUCACUGCACGAGAAGCCGCGCCGUCUCGCGCUGUCAAAAGAGCUGACGCAAAUCGUUCAUUUUCAAACUUCAAGAGCUCAAAAACACCCUCUUUUAGCUCUUGGUUUGUUCUAAUGGGUGGAUUGUGUGCAAUCGCUGUAAUAUUUUAUUUUUAAAGGCCUUAAACAAGAAUAAAUUUGCUUCUUGUGAGCUCGUAGUGCGAGUGCAGGAGAAGCCGCGCGGGCUCGCUCUGUCAAAAGAGCUGACGCAAAUCGUUCAUUUUCAAACUUCAACAGCUGAAAAACACCCUCUUUU
ensembl:lncRNA